GGGGGCGACCUGGCUUCGACGUGGGUUGCGAAACCUAAGGUGCAUGCCGAGAAUGAGAUCUCUCGAAAAACAGACUCACUUAAAUAUAAAUGCAAACGAUGAAAACUUUGCAGGUGAAGCUAUCGCUGCGUAAGCUUUGAUGGUGUAACCGCCGUGCGCUGCCAUAAAACCAGCGCCCCGUUGACCGAGCCUGCUUAUUGGUAUCGACUCAACGGUCAUAAGAAAUAAGCUAGCAAUCUGGUUUGUCCCGCACCAGGUUGCGAAACUCAGGGAACCGCCGCGUACCAUCCUGCCGGUCGGAGGGUGCACGGUUAAAUUCAUAGACCACGCUAAGCAUGUAGAGCCAAAGGCAGAGGAUUUGCGGACGCGGGUUCGAUUCCCGCCGCCUCCACCA
rnacentral:tmRNA from 1 species